GUGAGGGAGUUUGUUUCUCUACGGAAACUUAGGGUGCUAUUACUAGAAAAUGGAUUGGGGGCCUAAAAUGAACAGGUAUCUUCUACAUAGGAGUAAGAAGUUCGCCUUGUACUGGGCUCCUCCCACCCAGUUCCAGUUUGACUCCAGGUCUGCUGGCCAAUUUCUUCCUGGUUGCACAGUGGAGUUGGAGAAAUAACCCCUUCCCAUUUGAAAACGCCAAACUACGCUGUCCUGGGGGGUGAGACACUGAUACCCCGGGCAUUCGUCACCUGGCCAGUUGGAGGCUUUACAGACGGGCCCCUUUAAUCCUGUCUGCCGCUCCCUACCGAGGAGGGCAGGGGAAGUGCUGUUCCCAUUUCACGCUUGAGAAACCUGACGAUUUGUGAAGGGGAACCCUGACUGAGUCAGCUACGGUCACAGCUGCCAAGUGAUGGAGCCCAGGUUUCAGCCCAGUUCUUGGUGAUCCUGGCUGUCCCAUCCCUGCAGUGACGGUGAAUUCCUGCCCACAGGGGGAUGCUGAGACCCAGAGAAGAGAGAUAAUGAAUGUGCCCAAGGUCAUCCGCCAGAGUGAGAACGAGCUCUCCCACCUUCCAGACCUGUGGGCUGACCCCUGGACCCCCGUGUCCCUUACAUGUCCAGUAUGCAGCAGCUGACACAGUGCUUCUGCACCCCGCAUCUCAGGAUCUUCACCUUGCCCCAGGGGCAGGCAGAGUGGGGCCAAUCACCUCCGUGUUCCUGAUGAGGAAGCAGAGGCACCAAGGGGCUGAGCAUCCAGCCCAGGGCCCAGAGCCAGAGUGUGAAGCCCUGACACCUGGCCCCCAGGGCAGUGCCGUGUUGCUCUGCUCAUUGAUGCUGCUGCAUCUUGUGGUCGGGGUUUCAGCCUGAGUCAGGCUUUCCAGAAGCCCGAAGCCUGUAGCAGAGAGUCCGCGCUAGGAGACAAGGCUCACAUUAAGUAUGCUUGAUGGAGCACAGAUGUGUGAGACAGAAAAUGAGGGGAAGUAACAGCGGCAGCUGGCACAGGUCAGGCACUAGGCUGGACGUUUCCUGCAAAUUCUCUCAUUCAGUCUGCGCAGCUACUCCCGUGAGAGAGGUACUCUGAUUCUGCCGAUGAGGAAAUGACGGCACAGAAAGUUGCAGACCCCCAACCAAGGUUAUACCUAGGAGGUGAUGGAGCUGGAACCUGCACCCCACUGGUCUGGAUCCAGAGAGCCCAUGCCGCGGAAAUGCGGGCCAUUGGUUGGCACCGUCAGAGAGGACGCCCAGGGCCCCUGGAGUACUUUCCAAUUCGGGGUCAGCAGGAGGAAAUGCUUGGAGACAGAGAUCUGCAGGUCCUUGAAGGAUGGCUUAGCUACAGCCAUGCUCUGAGGCCAGGCUCUUCUGUGUCAGGAGGACACUGACGUCCGGAGCAGUUUAGGCCCAAAGGCACACAGCAUCCCGGUGGAAGACCCGGACCCGGACCAAAGUACCUCGCCUCUCAGCUGCUGUCCGGCUGCCCCAAGCCUUUCCCACACAGUCCCCCGGUGUCUGCGAUUCUGUUUAUGGGACUUUCCCAAGGGGGACCCACGAGUGUCAGAGUCCUGCCUGCCUCACCUCGCUGCUGCUUCAGGACAAACCCUCCCAAACCUUAGCGGCCAAAAACACCAUUUUAUCAUCUCCCCUGUGCCUGUAGACCGACUGGGCUCAGCUGGUGGCUCUUCUGCUCCACAUGACACGUGGGCUGGGCUGCCCUCUGCCAGGGGCUCAACUUCAGCCCCACAGGUUGAUGUUGACAGUGGGAGGGGCUGAAGAUGUGGGACAGAGAGCCUACCUGUCUCUGCCCCGCCCCCCAUACUCCAUGUGGAAUGGGCUUCUCACAGCAUAGCAGUUGGGUUCUAUGAUAUUGUGAUGUAAAAGAAAUGUAUAUUUUGAUCUUUGCCCCUGGUUCUUGGCCAGAGCUUCUAAAACCCUUGUAAUAAAAAUGAUAGGAACAUCUUUUGUUUGAUUUCUGUUCCCACCUCUUGAAACAGCUGCUGACAUAUCUU